CACUUGCCCAAAGAACUGGUUGAAGCGCGAAGGAAACUGUUAUGGCUACUUCAAGGAACCUGUGACCUUUGCGCAGGCUAAGGAGAAAUGCAAAAGGGAACAUCACGGUGACCUAGCCUCCUUCCAUAGCAAGCAAGAAGUCUGUGCAAUUGCGAAAUUUGUUGCUGGAUUCAAGGACAACAAAGAUGUUUGGAUAGGUCUCCACGAUCCUCAAAAGGAUAAUGUAUGGUAUUGGACUGAUUCCACCAGGGUUAACUUAUAUGCUUGGCUGAAUGACGAAGACAGAGAGGAUGAACACUGUGGGCUGUUGCUCCACGACACAGAUUACAUUUCAUGGGACAGCAGAAAUUGUGAAACCAAGAGCCCCUACCUUUGUAGAUCGACACCACAAAUUAUCGUUACUGACUGCUAACAAGGAGGAACCCUGGUUGGCUGUCUAGAAGAACCUGCACCCAGAGGGAUGUCAACUCCUUCCAUGACUGCUAAACUCACCUGCUACUCAUCUAUGGGCUGAAAUCCCAAAUAAACAGUAGAACUUGCAACUCU